UACGUAGGGGGCAAGCGUUGUCCGGAAUUAUUGGGCGUAAAGCGCGCGCAGGCGGUCAUUUAAGUUUGGUGUUUAAUCCCGUGGCUCAACCCCGGGUCGCACUGAAAACUGGGUGACUUGAGUACAGAAGAGGAGAGUGGAAUUCCACGUGUAGCGGUGAAAUGCGUAGAUAUGUGGAGGAACACCAGUGGCGAAGGCGACUCUCUGGGCUGUAACUGACGCUGAGGCGCGAAAGCGUGGGGAGCAAACAGG
rnacentral:rRNA from 1 species